rnacentral:piRNA from 1 species
GGAAAGAUUUCUGGUCUUCUGAGGGUAGA